rnacentral:rRNA from 1 species
AACGAACGCUGGCGGCAUGCCUAACACAUGCAAGUCGAACGAGACCUCCGGGUCUAGUGGCGCACGGGUGCGUAACGCGUGGGAACCUGCCCUUAGGUUCGGAAUAACUCCCCGAAAGGGGUGCUAAUACCGGAUAAUGUCUUCGGACCAAAGAUUUAUCGCCUUUGGAUGGGCCCGCGUUGGCUUAGCUAGUUGGUAGGGUAAAAGCCUACCAAGGCGACGAUCCAUAGCUGGUCUGAGAGCAUGAUCAGCCACACUGGGACUGAGACACGGCCCAGACUCCUACGGGAGGCAGGAGUGGAGAAUAUUGGACAAUGGGCGCAAGCCUGAUCCAGCAAUGCCGCGUGAGUGAUGCAGGCCUUAGGGUUGUAAAGCUCUUUUACCCGGGAUGAUAAUGACGGUACCGGGAGAAUAAGCUCCGGCUAACUCCGUG